GAGUUUGAUCAUGGCUCAGAUUGAACGCUGGCGGCAGGCCUAACACAUGCAAGUCGAGCGGAUGAAGGGAGCUUGCUCCUGGAUUCAGCGGCGGACGGGUGAGUAAUGCCUAGGAAUCUGCCUGGUAGUGGGGGAUAACGUCCGGAAACGGGCGCUAAUACCGCAUACGUCCUGAGGGAGAAAGUGGGGGAUCUUCGGACCUCACGCUAUCAGAUGAGCCUAGGUCGGAUUAGCUAGUUGGUGGGUAAAGGCCUACCAAGGCGACGAUCCGUAACUGGUCUGAGAGGAUGAUCAGUCACACUGGAACUGAGGACACGGUCCAGACUCCUACGGGAGGCAGCA
rnacentral:rRNA from 1 species